rfam:Aedes aegypti strain Liverpool supercont1.25 genomic scaffold, whole genome shotgun sequence.
GGCUCGGUAGCUCAAUUGGUAAAGCACUCGUAUAACAUACAAGAGUCGAGGGUUCGAAUCCCAUCUGAGCAC